CAGAUAGCAUGCCAUGUCUAAGUAUAAGCAAUUAUACCGUGAAACUGCGAAUGGCUCAUUAAAUCAGUUAUCGUUUAUUUGAUAGUACCUUACCACUUGGAUAACCGUGGUAAUUCUAGAGCUAAUACAUGCUAAAAACCCCGACUUCGGAAGGGGUGUGUUUAUUAGAUAAAAAACCAAUGCCCUUCGGGGCUCUUUGGUGAUUCAUGAUAACCUAACGGAUCGCAUGGCCUUGCGCCGGCGACGGUUCAUUCAAAUUUCUGCCCUAUCAACUUUCGAUGGUAAGGUAUUGGCUUACCAUGGUUUCAACGGGUAACGGGGAAUUAGGGUUCGAUUCCGGAGAGGGAGCCUGAGAAACGGCUACCACAUCCAAGGAAGGCAGCAGGCGCGCAAAUUACCCAAUCCCGACACGGGGAGGUAGUGACAAUAAAUACUGAUACAGGGCUCUUUUGGGUCUUGUAAUUGGAAUGAGUACAAUUUAAACCCCUUAACGAGGAACAAUUGGAGGGCAAGUCUGGUGCCAGCAGCCGCGGUAAUUCCAGCUCCAAUAGCGUAUAUUAAAGUUGUUGCAGUUAAAAAGCUCGUAGUUGAAACUUGGGUCUGGCUAGCGGGUCCGCCUCACCGCGUGCACUUGUCCGGCUGGACCUUUCCUUCUGGAGAACCUCAUGCCCUUCACUGGGUGUGUUGGGGAACCAGGACUUUUACUUUGAAAAAAUUAGAGUGUUCAAAGCAGGCCUUUGCUCGAAUACGUUAGCAUGGAAUAAUAGAAUAGGACGUGCGGUCCUAUUUUGUUGGUUUCUAGGAUCGCCGUAAUGAUUAAUAGGGAUAGUCGGGGGCAUCAGUAUUCAAUUGUCAGAGGUGAAAUUCUUGGAUUUAUUGAAGACUAACUACUGCGAAAGCAUUUGCCAAGGAUGUUUUCAUUAAUCAGUGAACGAAAGUUAGGGGAUCGAAGACGAUCAGAUACCGUCGUAGUCUUAACCGUAAACUAUGCCGACUAGGGAUCGGGCGAUGUUUCUAUCUUGACUCGCUCGGCACCUUACGAGAAAUCAAAGUUUUGGUCUGGGG
rnacentral:rRNA from 1 species